rnacentral:misc_RNA from 1 species
AACUGGACCUGGUUAACCAGGUAAGAUGCUAUAGCAUUUCUGUUAAAUUCUGUAUUGCUAUCACAUCAUUUUUUUUUUAAUAUUCUUUUUUAAGAAUGAAAUUGAGAAUCUUUUAGGAAGAUGCUGCAUCUAGGUUUUAGGCCACGUAUACUCUGUUGGUCAAAAUCUACACAUACUUCAAAUAUGUUAUUGGAAGAUUGGGUUGGGUUGGGUUGGUUAAUAUAUAAGGGUUUUUGGGCUUUAUGCAGUAAACCCUAGUCGUGCAGAAUUUUGGCUCAAGAUAGUUUUUACAAAUGUCAUUUCUCAGCUGCAUACAAUUUGAUAUUUCAUAAGUAUAGCUUUUUCUGCUCACAAUUUGAUGUACUUUCCUCCCAUCCCAUGAAUCCCCUAUUCAUGCAAUCAUUUUA